AUUGAACGCUGGCGGCAUGCCUUACACAUGCAAGUCGAACGGUAACGGGCCUUCGGGUGCCGACGAGUGGCGAACGGGUGAGUAAUGCAUCGGAACGUACCUUUCAGUGGGGGAUAACGUAGCGAAAGUUACGCUAAUACCGCAUAUUCUGUGAGCAGGAAAGCAGGGGAUCGCAAGACCUUGCGCUGAUUGAGCGGCCGAUGUCAGAUUAGCUAGUUGGUGAGGUAAAGGCUCACCAAGGCGACGAUCUGUAGCGGGUCUGAGAGGAUGAUCCGCCACACUGGAACUGAGACACGGUCCAGACUCCUACGGGAGGCAGCAGUGGGGAAUUUUUGGACAAUGGGGGCAACCCUGAUCCAGCCAUGCCGC
rnacentral:rRNA from 1 species